rnacentral:SRP_RNA from 1 species
AGGCCGGGCCCGUGCGAUCGGACCCCGUGAACCUUGUCAGAUGGGGAACCAAGCAGCAAUAAGCGGAUCGCCCGAUGUGUUAUGGUUUCCCCGGCUGGA